rnacentral:rRNA from 1 species
AAGUCGAACGGUAACAGGGACUUCGGUUCGCUGACGAGUGGCGCACGGGUGAGUAACGCGUGGAUAUCUGCCCAUCGGUGGGGGACAACCUGGAGAAAUCCAGGCUAAUACCGCAUACGAUCUACGGAUGAAAGCGGGGGACCUUCGGGCCUCGCGCCGAUGGAUGAGUCCGCGUCUGAUUAGCUUGUUGGUAGGGUAACGGCCUACCAAGGCGAUGAUCAGUAGCUGGUUUGAGAGGAUGAUCAGCCACACUGGAACUGAGACACGGUCCAGACUCCUACGGGAGGCAGCAGUGGGGAAUUUUGCACAAUGGGCGAAAGCCUGAUGCAGCGACGCCGCGUGCGGGAAGAAGGCCUUCGGGUUGUAAACCGCUUUCAAUUGGGAAGAAGGGAUGAGGGUUAAUACCCCUCUGACUUGACGGUACCUUUAGAAGAAGCACCGGCUAAUUUCGUGCCAGCAGCCGCGGUAAUACGAAAGGUGCAAGCGUUGUUCGGAUUUACUGGGCGUAAAGAGAUCGUAGGUGGUUUGUUAAGUCGGAUGUGAAAUCCCGGGGCUCAACCCCGGAACUGCAUUCGAUACUGGCAGGCUUGAGUUCGGGAGGGGGAAGCGGAAUUCCGUGUGUAGCAGUGAAAUGCGUAGAUAUACGGAGGAACACCUGAGGCGAAGGCGGCUUCCUGGACCGAUACUGACACUGAGGAUCGAAAGCGUGGGUAGCAAACAGGAUUAGAUACCCUGGUAGUCCACGCCCUAAACGAUGUCUACUAGCCGUUGCGGGUAUCGACCCCUGCAGUGGCGCAGCUAACGCAAUAAGUAGACCGCCUGGGGAGUACGGUCGCAAGAUU